rnacentral:rRNA from 1 species
UACAGAGGGUGCGAGCGUUAAUCGGAAUUACUGGGCGUAAAGCGCGCGUAGGCGGCUUUUCAAGUCGAUUGUGAAAUCCCCGGGCUUAACCUGGGAACUGCAGUCGAGACUGUCUAGCUAGAGUAUGGGAGAGGGAAGUGGAAUUUCAGGUGUAGCGGUGAAAUGCGUAGAUAUCUGAAGGAACAUCAGUGGCGAAAGCGACUUCCUGGACCAAUACUGACGCUCAUGUGCGAAAGCGCGGGGAGCAAACAGG